rnacentral:tRNA from 1 species
UAUAGAAUAGUAUAAGAAGUACAUAAGAUCUUGGUCCUUGACGUGAAAGUUCGUCCCUUUCUUCUAUAG